rnacentral:rRNA from 1 species
AUUGAACGCUAGCGGGAUGCUUUACACAUGCAAGUCGAACGAGUGGCGGACGGGUGAGUACUGUCUGGGAACCUGCCCAGUGGAGGGGGAUAACUACUGGAAACGGUGGCUAAUACCGCAUACCAUUAGAGCAGCCCAGAUCGGAUUAGCUAGUUGGUGGGGUAAAGGCUCACAAAGGCAACGAUCCGUAGCUGGUUUGAGAGGACGACCAGCCACACUGGGACUGAGACACGGCCCAGACUCCUACGGGAGGCAGCAGUGGGGAAUAUUGGACAAUGGGCGAAACCCUGAUCCAGCCAUCCCGCGUGUAUGAUGAAGGCCUUCGGGUUGUAAAGUACUUUCAGUCGGGAGGCGUUACCGACAGAAGAAGCACCGGCUAACUCCGUGCCAGCAGCCGCGGUAAUUC